UGCCAGCAGCCGCGGUAAUCCAGCUCCAAUAGCGUAUAUUAAAGUUGUUGCAGUUAAAAAGCUCGUAGUUGAAUUUCGGGGUUAGUAGGUUGGUCAUGCCUCUGGUAUGUACUGGUCUCACUGAUUCCUCCUUCCUGAUGAACCUUAAUGCCAUUAAUUUUGUGUUUCGGGGAAUUUGGACUGUUACUUUGAAAAAAUUAGAGUGUUUAAAGCAAGCUAACGCUUGAAUACAUUAGCAUGGAAUAAUGAAAUAGGACGUUCGAUCCUAUUUUGUUGGUUUCUAGGAUUGACGUAAUGAUUAAUAGGGAUAGUUGGGGGCAUUAGUAUUCAAUUGUCAGAGGUGAAAUUCUUGGAUUUAUUGGAGACUAACUACUGCGAAAGCAUUUGCCAAGGAUGUUUUCAUUAAUCAAGAACGAAAGUUAGGGGGAUCGAAGACGAUCAGAUACCGUCGUAGUCUUAACCAUAAACUAUGCCGACUAGGGAUCGGAUGAUGUUAAUUUUUUAAUGACUCAUUCGGCGCCUUACG
rnacentral:rRNA from 1 species